rnacentral:miRNA from 1 species
CACGGGGGCUGUGGAUCAGACU